GAUGAACGCUGGCGGCGUGCCUAAUACAUGCAAGUCGAGCGAACAGACGAGGAGCUUGCUCCUCUGACGUUAGCGGCGGACGGGUGAGUAACACGUGGAUAACCUACCUAUAAGACUGGGAUAACUUCGGGAAACCGGAGCUAAUACCGGAUAAUAUAUUGAACCGCAUGGUUCAAUAGUGAAAGACGGUUUUGCUGUCACUUAUAGAUGGAUCCGCGCCGCAUUAGCUAGUUGGUAAGGUAACGGCUUACCAAGGCAACGAUGCGUAGCCGACCUGAGAGGGUGAUCGGCCACACUGGAACUGAGACACGGUCCAGACUCCUACGGGAGGCAGCAGUAGGGAAUCUUCCGCAAUGGGCGAAAGCCAGACGGAGCAACGCCGCGUGAGUGAUGAAGGUCUUCGGAUCGUAAAACUCUGCUAUUAGGGAAGAACAAAUGUGUAAGUAACUAUGCACGUCUUGACGGUACCUAAUCAGAAAGCCACGGCUAACUACGUG
rnacentral:rRNA from 1 species